UGUAUAUCCCCUAAACUCCUCACCUAUAUCACAAAAACCUGCCAAGGCAGAAUACAUUCCCUUGGGAAAGGAGCUUUGGCGGGCAAGCAGGCAUCGGGUCCCAUCUGACACCAGCGUGAUCACCACAGGAGCCAUCUAGGAAAGGGGAAUGGAAACUGAGAUGCUGGCACUUUGGGCCCUGCCAAUGAGCUAAAGCAAUGUAUAAUUAAGGAAUUGCACAGGCUUCCUUCCCCAGGACAAAGCAGCACACAGUCUUCUUGGAUUACUGUCCUCUUACAGCAAUACUUACCUGUGGAUAAUAGAUGAUAUUAUUGGAAGGGCACACACGCUUGCUGCCAGCCACGUUCUUCUUGGUGGGCUGCCCACUUCUGCUGCAGAACUGAUGAGCAUCAUGCCAGCGGAGAAGAGCUUGAGCCUAGGAACACAGUGAUGGGCCUGGUGUCAUUUGGAGAGAAUGCGGGGCUCAUCUUUAACAGCACUGGGCCUAGUGUCUGGAACAACUCACAGAAAAAUGCCAAUCUCUUUACAGCUCACGUAAUUUAAAUGGUUACUGUUUAAAUUUCAGGACAAGUAAACUAACUGAACAUAUUCCUCUAGCAUCAGAAAUCUGAAUAAAAGAAAGCAUAUUUUUA
rnacentral:antisense_RNA from 1 species